rnacentral:rRNA from 1 species
UACAGAGGGUGCGAGCGUUAAUCGGAAUUACUGGGCGUAAAGGGCGCGUAGGCGGUUAUGUAAGUGAGAUGUGAAAUCCCUGGGCUUAACCUAGGAACUGCAUCUCAUACUGUAUAGCUAGAGUAUUGUAGAGGGUAGUGGAAUUUCCGGUGUAGCGGUGAAAUGCGUAGAGAUCGGAAGGAACACCAGUGGCGAAGGCGGCUACCUGGACAAAUACUGACGCUGAUGCGCGAGAGCGUGGGGAGCAAACAGG